UAUAAAUAAAAAUUAAGGUUUAUAUUUUUUUGGAUAUUAUAUUUUGACAAAUUAUUUCUUGGACCUUGUAUUUUGUGAAAUGAUUCAAAUAAACCUAUAAACUCAAUUUUGAUUAAAGUUUUUUGAACUAAAAUUACAAAUAAUUCACCAAACUAACAAUUCAGAACAAAAACACAACUAUUGUAAAUACCCCAAAUAUUAUAAAUAAAUAAGUAAAGGACUUAAAUGUAAUUUCUUUUAAAUUAAAUGAGGGACCUUUUAGAAAAGAAAGCUAUCUAGAACAUUUAGGCUUUCUCUCCCUUCUCUUGCACGAUACCCACCUCCAUCUAUCUCUUUCCUCCUUUUUUUUCUUCUUCAAACCUCGCGGCAGCCACCACUCAUCUCCACAAUCGGCACCGACAACUCACCCACACUCCACCAAUCCUCUCAUCAUCAACAAGUGAGCCCAUCCUCGGAGUUCCGUUGUUCUACACACCAUUUAUGCCACCAAAUCAAGCUUCAAAAGCUUUGUUUUUGCUCAAUUAUUCUGGCCAUAUUCCGACGCCAUUCAAGACCCCACUAGGCCAAGCACGGUACGAACGUAAUCCUUGUCACGAGAUCUAUCUUUUCCACUCAAGGGAUGCUGUAAAACUCAUCAAAAUAGUGGGUGGAGACCCGUUGGAAAACACCUCGGAAACCAUGGAUUUAGAGUUAUUCUUCGACCAAAACUAGUGGUCUUUAGCUCCGGCCAACCUCACCAUCGAGUAGAUCGACCCAAGGGGCUUCACAUUGGUGGCUUUGAUUCUCAUCAUCACCGUGAUUCGCUGGAAACUGCCACCACCACCGCCGUUCGUACACCCAAACGGUGUUAGAAUUCAUUCGGGGAAGAGAAAUCACGGCUACCUUUAAGAGCUUCACAAAUGUAUUUGAAAUAUUAGGAUUCCAUAUAUACAAGUUAGGAGUUCUUGAAAACUUAAUUGUUAGUAGUUUUAAGAGUUUUAAAAUUUCACGAAACCAUAUCUUAUCUAUCUAUAUAAUUAUUGGAUGUCGUACUUUAUAUUUAA